CAGCAAUAGUAAUCUCUCGCUGGCAUAUACUUUUUGUAUAAUGUAUUAUUCAUAACAGAUUGCUCCCAAAGUUGACCUUUAUAUGUGACAGGUAGGAUUUUGUACAGGCAAUACAACAUGUAUUUGAGAAACAUACAACAUUUGAUUGUUAACCACAACAUCAUAUUUAUUCUAUAAAAUUGAUAAUACCAAAAUAUACAUGAUAUAUGUACAUUAUAAAAUAUAUAAUACAAUAAUUAUGUAAAAUAUAUAAUACCAUUAUGUUAACGGACAGCAUUAAGGAAGGUAACACAAUAUUACAACAUUAUCCUGUCAACAUCACCAUUAAUAAUUAAAUAUAUCACCUUAAACGUACAAAUGUACUUAUAAUAAUGAUUACAUUAUCAUUAAUAAAAAAAGUAUCUUCUAUAAAACGGACUUAUGCUUAUAAAAUCAAUGAUUAAAAGUGUCAUAAACAAAACGGAUUUAUAAUCAUAACAUCGUCAUUGAUUUAAGAAAUUCACCAAUAAAACACUCCAGUGUCUGUGUACCAGCCAGGUCACCCUGAUAAAUAAAUCGGAGGCACCUGUCCAACAGU